GAUCCUACGGGCGGCUGCAGUGGGGAAUCUUGGACAAUGGGGGCAACCCUGAUCCAGCAAUGCCGCGUGGGUGAAGAAGGCCUUCGGGUUGUAAAGCCCUUUCGGCAGGGAAGAAAUCGGCGGGGCGAAUAACCCUGCUGGAUGACGGUACCUGCAGAAGAAGCACCGGCUAACUACGUGCCAGCAGCCGCGGUAAUACGUAGGGUGCGAGCGUUAAUCGGAUUUACGGGGCGUAAAGCGUGCGCAGGCGGCUCGUUAAGGCAGGUGGGAAAUCCCGGGGAUCAACCUAGGAAUUGCGCUGGUGACGGGCGGGCUCGAGUACGGUAGAGGGGGGUGGAAUUCCUGGUGUAGCAGUGAAAUGCGUAGAGAUCAGGAGGAACACCGAUGGCGAAGGCAGCCCCCUGGGCCUGUACUGACGCUCAUGCACGAAAGCGUGGGGAGCAAACAGGAUUAGAUACCCUGGUAGUCA
rnacentral:rRNA from 1 species